rnacentral:rRNA from 1 species
GACGAACGCUGGCGGCGUGCUUAACACAUGCAAGUCGAACGGGCCUGUCUUCUUUUUUGGGGGUGGGUUGAGUGGCGAACGGGUGAGUAUCACGUGAGUAACCUGCCCUUCGGUCCUGGAUAACCGCUUGAAAGGGCGGCUAAUACGGGGUGGUCCGGUUGGUCCGCAUGGGCUGGUCGGGAUAGAUUCACUGUUUUUGGUGUUUCGGCGGGGGAUGGGCUCGCGGCCUAUCAGCUUGUUGGUGGGGUGAUGGCCUACCAAGGCGGUGACGGGUAGCCGGCCUGAGAGGGUGGGCGGCGACACGGGGACUGAGAUACGGCCCAGAGUCCUGCGGGAGGCAGCAGUGGGGGGUAUUGCACAAGGGGCGGAAGCCUGAUGCAGCGACGUCGCGUGAGGGAUGGAGGCCUUCGGGUUGUGAACCUCUGUUUCCGGUGGUGAAGGCCCUGUCCGUGUGGUGGGGUUGACGGUAGCCGGGGAUGAAGCGCCGGCUAACUACGUG